AUAUAUAUAGCUCAGUGGUAGGGCACUUGGCUAGCAUCCAGGAGGCCUUAGGUUCAAUCCCCAGUACAGAAA
rnacentral:tRNA from 1 species